GACGUAGGGCGCGAGCGUUGUCCGGAAUUAUUGGGCGUAAAGAGCUCGUAGGCGGUUUGUUGCGUCGGCUGUGAAAACCUGCGGCUUAACUGUGGGCUUGCAGUCGAUACGGGCAGACUUGAGUUCGGCAGGGGAGACUGGAAUUCCUGGUGUAGCGGUGAAAUGCGCAGAUAUCAGGAGGAACACCGGUGGCGAAGGCGGGUCUCUGGGCCGAUACUGACGCUGAGGAGCGAAAGCGUGGGGAGCGAACAGGA
rnacentral:rRNA from 1 species